UACGUAGGGGGCGAGCGUUAUCCGGAUUCACUGGGUGUAAAGGGAGCGUAGACGGCCAUGCAAGCCAGGGGUGAAAGCCCGGGGCCCAACCCCGGGACUGCCCUUGGAACUGCAUGGCUGGAGUGCGGGAGGGGCAGGCGGAAUUCCUGGUGUAGCGGUGAAAUGCGUAGAUAUACGGAGGAACACCAGUGGCGAAGGCGGCCUGCUGGACAUUAACUGACGCUGAGGCGCGAAAGCGUGGGGAGCAAACAGG
rnacentral:rRNA from 1 species